rnacentral:lncRNA from 1 species
GGCAUCUCUGUAGAAUCCUAUUUUGACUGCUGCUCCGCAGUCACCACCUCAACCAGAGCUGCAGGCACCUCCUUGAAGUCUAAAGAGGAGGUUGACUUAUCAAAGUCAUCUUAGGGCCCAGUAGCCGGUUAGGCGGCGAUCUCCAAAGCCACAGUCGGGCCAUGAUUCAACCUCCGGACGUCGAUCUCCUUUACGCUUAAAGGCUGUUACUGUCCAUGAAGUUGAUUUUGAAAGAUGGUUUCAGAAGCUCGACCAGCAGUUAGAUCAGAAAAUAGAAAAGGCCCUCAAUAAUAAUAGCUCUUUGGCGCUGCCCUA